rnacentral:misc_RNA from 1 species
ACCCUGUAUCUAGACAUUAGC